rnacentral:piRNA from 1 species
AGCUGAUUCCAACUGACAACAAGAGAGG